rnacentral:rRNA from 1 species
UACGUAGGCAGCAAGCGUUGUUCGGAAUUACUGGGCGUAAAGAGUGUGUAGGUGGUGUCGUAAGUUUGGUGUGAAGUCUCCCGGCUUAACUGGGAGGGUGCGCCGAAGACUGCGAUGCUGGAGUAUGGGAGAGGAAAGCGGAAUUCCUGGUGUAGCGGUGAAAUGCGUAGAUAUCAGGAGGAACACCUGCGGUGUAGACGGCUUUCUGGACCAUUACUGACACUGAGACACGAAAGCGUGGGUAGCAAACAGG